UACGGGGAACUAAGAUUCGUGACUUGAUUUUCCUUUUUGUAGAGGAGGUACGAGCGUACUAAAACUAAAUAACCAUACUCGUUCAUUUCCCAUAUUAAAAGGGUGCUCCCUAACCUAAUCAAGCAAAUGAACUAAUUUAUUUCUAAUUUUUGUUAAAUGAAAUGCAAGUCUAAAUGUCAUGUUUCGUAAAUAGGGAUAAGAAAUAUACAUAUAGAGGAAAUAUCAUACAAAAUGAUAAAGAUCCUAAAAAGUAGAAAAUAUGUACGAAAUGUAGUGAUUGUCACGCAAACAUGAUCUAGCGCGUGAACAUUCCCUAAGGGUUUAGUAAUGGACUAACCCAUAGUUAUAAGUUCUCACUAGCGUUGGACUAGUGAAAAAUCGGAAAAAAGGGCCACAACUAACGUUGGAGUGUUGGACUAGUGUGGUGACGUCAUACAUUUAUUAUAACAUAAGAAAUCAUAUAAAUAUAAUUAUAGCAAGUAAACACAUAAGCACAUACACGUAAGCAUAAUAUCUAGAUGCAAAAAUCCUAAAAAAAGUGAAUAAACACAUAAGCACACAAGCAAAUAAACACACAUAAGGACUUAACUAUUACGUUUGGGGUUCUAACUACAAUCUAAAAGAGGGAAUUAAAAAUAAUAAUCUAACUAUUACAUUUAUCUAACUAAUUACAUUUAUGGCAAAAUUAAAAUCUAUCUAUUACAUUGUUUAGCUAAAUACAUGUCUUGAACAUCUAUCUAUUACAAUUUGACAUUUAAAUGCCUCUCAAAUAAUCACCAAAAUUAAAUAUAUAAAACUUGAAAUAAAUAAAACGAGUAAUUAAAUAAAUAAAUAAAACACUCAAGACAUGCAAUUACACAUAAAAUACAUAGGAGCACAUAAAAGAUUUUUUAAAAUAGUAAAAGAAAAUACCUCCCUUGAAGUAGUAGCUAAUUGGAGUUUGAUUUAGCUUAUUUAUACUUCAAAAUCAAUGAAAAUGUUAAGGCACCAAUUUAAUUAACAAAUAAAAAGAAUAACAUGUAAAGAAAUGAAAAAUAAUCAUGAAAUCUAUCAAUUAAAACAUUUAAAUGAAGUAUCAUUAACAAUUGAAAAAGAUAAUCAGCCUAUACUUAAGAAAUUAAAGUUAUUAGGGAUCUAAUUAUGAAAAUUAUAAAAGCUUUUGAGGUCAAAAUAUAAUUAUUAAAAAAUUUAGGGUCAAAAUUGAAAGAAAAAUUAAGUUUAGGGACCAAUUGCAAUUUAUAUAGGGACCUAAUUGAAAGAAAUUUAAAUUUUCUAGGCCGUAGUAAAAUUACUCAAAAGUAUAGGAACUGAUCUACAAUUCCAUCAUCAGAUCUGAAGGGAAACAGGACAUUGUGCUAUCUUUAAGAUUGCGUUGGGCUUAGGGCAUCUUGACCCAAGGAAAAGCCUCAAGAACAAGAGACGGGCUAACCCAUCACUUUGACCAAAUCAACCCAACCAAAAGGGGUGGGUUUCAACCUCUCAAAACCCAUACGAAACCCAAUAAAAUAAACAUAAGCCCAUUCCUAACGCCCAAAUAAAAUAGACCAGAUUUUAUACCAAAACCCAACUAAACAAACCUCAACCCAAACCUUCAACUAUUUUACAAAACCCAAUAAAAUAAUAAAUCUAUCAAAACUAUUAAACCCUAAAUUUCAUCCUAAAAUUCAUAAAUAAUCUGUUCAAAAAUCAUAUUAAAACAUGCUAAAGAAAAUUAAAAUUUAACGAGGCAAAAUUGACCGAUUGUUUUCGAUUUUCAUGCCACAGUAGGAUUAUUUAAAAAAUAGGGGCUAAAAUGCAAAUGUUUCAGAUUUGUUCAUGCAAGUUUGGGGCCAUGUAAGUUUUGAAAAUUUUAAUUUAUAGUAUGUAAAUAUCUAUAUAAAACAAAGUUGGUCUCCCCUAAUUUUUUACAAUUUUAUAUAUAUUUAUAAUUAAAGUUAAUAUUUGAUUUUUUUAGAUGUCAUAUAUUUAAAUGGAUGGAAAUUAUUUUAAACAUAGCAUAUUAAGAAAAUUUUGACCCCCUAGAAAAAAAUCCUGGUUCCGUCACUGUUCUUCUGCAACUUCCUGGGUUUCCAUCCAAGCGGUUAUUGUACCAUGAAAAGGGAAGAAAUCACAACAUGAUUUUAAGUGAACAGCCCAAAGUCAAAAUCUUUCUCAACUCCCUAGCAAAAAACAUCAAACGUCACUUGGCUCCUCAACCUUUGUCGGAGGAAACAAAUUCUGUGACCAAAGAAGAAUCGAAAGGGAAGGAACGAAGAGUAGCAAAUAUACGCAGCUAGAAAAAAUCUAAUCAAACCAUUCUCAUGCAUUGUUCUCCUCCUUUUUACAACGAAAGCAAAUAAUACAAGAAAAACACAAGUUUCAAUGGCUCAAAGCUACCCCACUCCAGAUUCAUGCAUAAAGGGAAGCAGACAACUCUCAUUCAUGGACUCCAGAUAAAACCCCGAAACAUAACUUUGCUUAUGAACUGCACGGCUUGCAAAGAUAAUCAAGGACAAGUAUUUACAUUAACUUCCAAAUCUUAUCCUUUUUUAGUCACACAAGAUACAUCAGACCCAGCAAAACCAUAUAACCCACACCAUAAGCUCAUGAAAGCAUAAUCUGAAAAGGGUUCUCUUUUGAUAAGUUAAAGAUUUUUCCUUUGUGGAUUGCAGCAAGCAAAGGAUAGAUUAAGAGUUACCUUCGAUGUUUACACACACAGAAAUUGAGAAAAGUGGGAUUCAAAGCUCAAAUCUGGAAGCCAGGAACUUUGCUGCAGAAACUUUAAGAAUGAUGAAGGUAGCAGGUUCAAGCCCGGAUUGGGAGAUGUUGCAGAGGUUUUUUCUAAGAAAUUCCAACACAAAAUCUUCUCCUUGAUCAACUUAGAUUUCUCAGAAAAAAAAAAUCUUCCCACGACAAGCUGUAGGGAGAUCGGAAUCAGGUGGGGAAUGAUGAAGGUAGCAGGUUCAAGCCCGGAUUGGGAGAUGUUGCAGAGGUUUUUUCUAAAAAAUUCCAACACAAAAUCUUCUCCUUGAUCAACUUAGAUUUCUCAGAAAAAAAAAAAUCUUCCCACGACAAGCUGUAGGGAGAUCGGAAUCAGGUGGGGAAUGUGACUAAAUCACCAACCCUGGCUCACAUUUUUUGCAAAGAAAAUUCUGCACUUUUUUCUUCCUUUUUUCUCUUGUUUUCUCUCUUUCUUUGCUUCCCUUUCUCCCUCUCUUUUCCUCUCCGCCGCCCCUAUCUACUCUCUUCUUGUUCUCCUUUUGCUGUGUUUUUCCUCAGUGUUUAUAUGGAACCCCAGCUCCCAAAACCCUCAUUUCAACGGUAGAUAUAGAGCUGGUUUUUAGUGGCUGAAUUGGAUCCCCUAGGUCUAUUUUUACAGCUGUUUUUCUUGAUAAGGAUCCACGGGUGAGGUGUCUAUUUGUACUGAGGGGCUUAAAUGGAAAGAAAAAAAGCAAAAAAAAUGUAGAAAUUAGACAAAAUGGCCGCUGC
rnacentral:lncRNA from 1 species